GUUUGCGGAGGGGCUGGAUGGCAAAUAAAUCUUAAGUGUCGUGUGACGACGAGAAACGAGGAGGGAGCUGGCCAGGCUCAUCCUGAGCCGCAUCCCGCAGGCACCCGCCGGCCUGACCCCGUCCCGCGCGCGGGGAGCCAGGUGCGCGGCGGGACCGGCACGGAGCCCUGCGUCCUCCGUGAGGGCGGAAAAGAGGCGACUCUGGGAAGGCUGAAGGGAGAGAAGGAGGCAGCGGCCGCCGGCACGCCUCGGGGCUCCGCGCUUCCCGCGACUGGGAGUCAGCUCCUGCGCCGUCGGUGUCGUCUGAGGAGGCGGCGGCGGAGGGAUUUUCGGAGGGAACAGAAACCGCCAGCUCGUGGGCGGGGGACGAGAGCUCCGGGUACGUGUCGUCGCCACCGCGGGGCAGAGGGGCCGGAACCCCGCGGCCGCCGACCGAGAGGAGCGGGCGGUAGGGGCGGCGCGGCGGGGACCUUCCCCGGGCGGGGGUCCCCGGGACGGGUGGCGGUGGCUGAGCCGCACCGACCCCGCGGGCAGCAGCCCCCCCUUCGCCGACCGAGUCCGGUACCCAGGUGGCCGGCAGCGCGACGGGCGCAGCUGGCGCCGCCUGAUGGCCCCCGGGCGGGGGCAGGGCCGGGCCGGGCGGCCGCUGGCUGCCGCGCUUGGGUGGAGCGGCGCGGAGGCCCGAGGGAGGGGCGGCGGGCGGGGCGCGGUGGUCUGAUCGCCGGCGGCGCCGGGGGGGAGGGAGGGCGGCGCUGCCUGGGAGCGGGGAACAAAAGCCCGGCUUCGGGAGCGCGGGGCUGCGGUCUUUUGUUGUUGCUUCUUCGGUGGACUGGGUUCGUCGGCGGCCCGCCCCGCCGCUGGCACAGCCCAGGGCCGCGGGACAGGCGGCGGCCCCCGGCUCCCGCCCGCCCCUCGCGAGUUGAUCAAAGUUGGGCCGGCCCGGAGCCCCCGGCAGCGCCCGGCCCCACCGCUCCUCUGCCUCCCGCCGUCCCUCCCCGCCCCGCGCCGCUCCCCGUCCCGCUCCGCGUGCAGCCAGGCGGCAGCAGCACGGGCGCCGCCCGCCCCCGCCUCCUUCUCCUCCCCGCGGCCGGGGCUCGGGAUAGGAGGAGUUGGAGGAAGAGGAAGAUGACGAGCGGUCGCAAAUAG
rnacentral:lncRNA from 1 species